GACGGACGCUGGCGGCGUGCUUAACACAUGCCAGUCGAACGGAAAGGCCCCAGCUUGCUGGGGUCCUCGAGUGGCGAACGGGUGAGUAACACGUGGGUGAUCUGCCCUGCACUCUGGGAUAAGCCUGGGAAACUGGGUCUAAUACCGGAUAGGACCGUGCUUUAGUGUGUGCGGUGGAAAGUUUUUCGGUGCAGGAUGAGCCCGCGGCCUAUCAGCUUGUUGGUGGGGUAAUGGCCUACCAAGGCGGCGACGGGUAGCCGGCCUGAGAGGGUGUACGGCCACAUUGGGACUGAGACACGGCCCAGACUCCUACGGGAGGCAGCAGUGGGGAAUAUUGCACAAUGGGCGCAAGCCUGAUGCAGCGACGCCGCGUGGGGGAUGACGGCCUUCGGGUUGUAAACCCCUUUCGGCAGGGACGAAGCUUUUGUGACGGUACCUGCAUAAGAAGCACCGGCUAACUACGUG
rnacentral:rRNA from 1 species